rnacentral:rRNA from 1 species
UACAGAGGUCCCAAGCGUUGUUCGGAUUCACUGGGCGUAAAGGGUGCGUAGGUGGUGGGGUAAGUCUGAUGUGAAAUCUCCGAGCUUAACUCGGAAAUGGCAUUGGAAACUACUCUGCUUGAGGGUUGGAGGGGGGACUGGAAUACUUGGUGUAGCAGUGAAAUGCGUAGAUAUCAAGUGGAACACCAGUGGCGAAGGCGAGUCCCUGGACAACUCCUGACACUGAGGCACGAAAGCUAGGGGAGCAAACAGG